UGAAGCAAUCGGAAGUGGUUCCAAGAAAAGCCUCUAAGCUUCAGUCAUACGAGACCGUACCGCAAACCGACACAGGUGGGCGAGAUGAGUAUUCUAAGGCGCUUGAGAGAACUCGGGAGAAGGAACUCGGCAAAUUGGUACCGUAACUUCGGGAAAAGGUACGCCCCGGUAGCUUGAUUGGUUUACUCCAUGAGGGUGAAAGGGUUGCAAUAAACUGGUGGCUGCGACUGUUUAAUAAAAACACAGCACUCUGCAAACACGAAAGUGGACGUAUAGGGUGUGACGCCUGCCCGGUGCUGGAAGAUUAAAUGAUGGGGUGCAAGCUCUUGAUUGAAGUCCCAGUAAACGGCGGCCGUAACUAUAACGGUCCUAAGGUAGCGAAAUUCCUUGUCGGGUAAGUUCCGACCUGCACGAAUGGCGUAACGAUGGCCACACUGUCUCCUCCCGAGACUCAGCGAAGUUGAAAUGUUUGUGAUGAUGCAAUCUACCCGCGGCUAGACGGAAAGACCCCAUGAACCUUUACUGUAGCUUUGCAUUGGACUUUGAACCAAUCUGUGUAGGAUAGGUGGGAGGCUUUGAAGCGGUGACGCCAGUCAUCGUGGAGCCAUCCUUGAAAUACCACCCUGGUUUGUUUGAGGUUCUAACCUUGGUCCGUUAUCCGGAUCGGGGACAGUGCAUGGUAGGCAGUUUGACUGGGGCGGUCUCCUCCUAAAGUGUAACGGAGGAGUUCGAAGGUACGCUAGAUACGGUCGGACAUCGUGUUGAUAGUGCAAUGGCAUAAGCGUGCUUAACUGCGAGACUGACAAGUCGAGCAGGUACGAAAGUAGGACAUAGUGAUCCGGUGGUUCUGUAUGGAAGGGCCAUCGCUCAACGGAUAAAAGGUACUCUGGGGAUAACAGGCUGAUUCCUCCCAAGAGUUCAUAUCGACGGGGGAGUUUGGCACCUCGAUGUCGGCUCAUCACAUCCUGGGGCUGUAGCCGGUCCCAAGGGUAUGGCUGUUCGCCAUUUAAAGUGGUACGUGAGCUGGGUUUAAAACGUCGUGAGACAGUUUGGUCCCUAUCUGCCGUGGGCGUUGGAAAUUUGAAGGGGGCUGCUCCUAGUACGAGAGGACCGGAGUGGACAGACCUCUGGUGUACCGGUUGUCACGCCAGUGGCAUUGCCGGGUAGCUAAGUCUGGAAGAGAUAACCGCUGAAAGCAUCUAAGCGGGAAACUUGCCUUGAGAUGAGAUUUCCCAGAGCCUUGAGCUCUUUAAAGGGUCGUUCGAGACCAGGACGUUGAUAGGUCAGGUGUGGAAGUGCAGUAAUGCAUUAAGCUAACUGAUACUAAUUGCCCGUACGGCUUGUCCCUAUAACCUUAGCAGGU
rnacentral:rRNA from 1 species